GCCCUCGUAGCUCAGCUGGAUAGAGCAUCUGCCUUCUAAGCAGAGGGUCACACGUUCGAGUCGUGUCGAGGGUACAA
rnacentral:tRNA from 1 species